GAGUUUGAUCCUGGCUCAGAACGAACGCUGGCGGCAGGCUUAACACAUGCAAGUCGAACGCCCCGCAAGGGGAGUGGCAGACGGGUGAGUAACGCGUGGGAAUCUACCGUACCCUACGGAAUAACGCAUGGAAACGUGUGCUAAUACCGUAUACGCCCUUCGGGGGAAAGAUUUAUCGGGGUAUGAUGAGCCCGCGUUGGAUUAGCUAGUUGGUGGGGUAAAGGCCUACCAAGGCGACGAUCCAUAGCUGGUCUGAGAGGAUGAUCAGCCACAUUGGGACUGAGACACGGCCCAAACUCCUACGGGAGGCAGCAGUGGGGAAUAUUGGACAAUGGGCGCAAGCCUGAUCCAGCCAUGCCGCGUGAGUGAUGAAGGUCUUAGGAUUGUAAAGCUCUUUCACCGAUGAAGAUAAUGACGGUAGUCGGAGAAGAAGCCCCGGCUAACUUCGUGCCAGCAGCCGCGGUAAUACGAAGGGGGCUAGCGUUGUUCGGAAUUACUGGGCGUAAAGCGCACGUAGGCGGAUAUUUAAGUCAGGGGUGAAAUCCCGCAGCUCAACUGCGGAACUGCCUUUGAUACUGGGUAUCUCGAGUAUGGAAGAGGUGAGUGGAAUUCCCGAGUGUAGAGGGUGAAAUUCGUAGAUAUU
rnacentral:rRNA from 1 species